rnacentral:rRNA from 1 species
UACAGAGGGUGCGAGCGUUGUCCGGAAUCAUUGGGCGUAAAGCGCGUGUAGGCGGUCCGGUAAGUCCGCUGUGAAAGUCGGGGGCUCAACCCUCGAAUGCCGGUGGAUACUGUCGGGCUAGAGUGCGGAAGAGGCGAGUGGAAUUCCUGGUGUAGCGGUGGAAUGCGCAGAGUAUCAGGAGGAACACCGAUGGCGAAGGCAGAUCUCUGGGCCGUAACUGACGCUGAGGAGCGAAAGCAUGGGGAGCGAACAGG